rnacentral:rRNA from 1 species
CUACGGGGCGCUGCAGUGGGGAAUAUUGGACAAUGGGGGCAACCCUGAUCCAGCGAUGCCGCGUGUGUGAAGAAGGCCUUCGGGUUGUAAAGCACUUUAGGUUGGGAAGAAGGUAUGUAAUUUAAGAGAUAACAUAUUUGACGGUACCAGCAGAAUAAGCACCGGCUAACUCUGUGCCAGCAGCCGCGGUAAUACAGAGGGUGCGAGCGUUAAUCGGAAUUACUGGGCGUAAAGGGCGCGUAGGUGGUUGUUUAAGUAAGAUGUGAAAUCCCCGGGCUUAACCUGGGCACUGCAUCUUAAACUGGGCGGCUAGAGUGCAGUAGAGGAUAGUGGAAUUUCCGGUGUAGCGGUGAAAUGCGUAGAUAUCGGAAGGAACACCAGUGGCGAAGGCGGCUAUCUGGACUGCAACUGACACUGAGGCGCGAAAGCGUGGGUAGCAAACAGGAUUAGAUACCCGGGUAGUC